UCCUACGGGAGGCAGCAGUGGGGAAUAUUGCACAAUGGGCGCAAGCCUGAUGCAGCAACGCCGCGUGAGGGACGAAGGCCUUCGGGUUGUAAACCUCUUUUAGUAGGGAAGAAGCGACUGGGUUUUCCUGGGAGUGACGGUACCUGCAGAAAAAGCACCGGCUAACUACGUGCCAGCAGCCGCGGUAAUACGUAGGGUGCAAGCGUUGUCCGGAAUUAUUGGGCGUAAAGAGCUCGUAGGCGGUUUGUCGCGUCUGCUGUGAAAACCCGAGGCUCAACCUCGGGCCUGCAGUGGGUACGGGCAGACUAGAGUGCGGUAGGGGAGAUUGGAAUUCCUGGUGUAGCGGUGGAAUGCGCAGAUAUCAGGAGGAACACCAAUGGCGAAGGCAGAUCUCUGGGCCGUAACUGACGCUGAGGAGCGAAAGCAUGGGGAGCGAACAGGAUUAGAUACCCUGGUAGUCCAUGCCGUAAACGUUGGGAACUAGAUGUGGGGACCAUUCCACGGUCUCCGUGUCGCAGCUAACGCAUUAAGUUCCCCGCCUGGGGAGUACGGCCGCAAGGCUAAAACUCAAAGGAAUUGACGGGGGCCCGCACAAGCGGCGGAGCAUGCGGAUUAAUUCGAUGCAACGCGAAGAACCUUACCAAGGCUUGACAUAUACCGGAACCGGCUGGAAACAGUCGCCCCGCAAGGUCGGUAUACAGGUGGUGCAUGGUUGUCGUCAGCUCGUGUCGUGAGAUGUUGGGUUAAGUCCCGCAACGAGCGCAACCCUCGUCCUAUGUUGCCAGCACGUAAUGGUGGGAACUCAUGGGAUACUGCCGGGGUCAACUCGGAGGAAGGUGGGGAUGACGUCAAAUCAUCAUGCCCCUUAUGUCUUGGGCUUCACGCAUGCUACAAUGGCCGGUACAAAGGGCUGCGAUACCGCAAGGUGGAGCGAAUCCCAAAAAGCCGGUCUCAGUUCGGAUUGAGGUCUGCAACUCGACCUCAUGAAGUCGGAGUCGCUAGUAAUCGCAGAUCAGCAACGCUGCGGUGAAUACGUUCCCGGGCCUUGUACACACCGCC
rnacentral:rRNA from 1 species